CAGGUGCCCCAAUCCAGCCUACUGUUGGUGGACUGGAAGAGGAGCAGGGGUGUAGGACCAGAUUGGCCCUGGAUAAGUGUUCAGGAACUUGGCUGCCUGAGAGAAAAGGACAGAAGUCCAGCUUUUUUCGGCCCCCUAGAGCAGUCUGCCAGACAAUCUUGCUCAAAGAGCUGAGGAAGGAGCCUGAGCCCCAGGUGCAUCAUGGGAGACCCGGCCCCCUGGUCCAAUCCUGCCUACCCAAGGACAUGUUGGUGCAGAUGGGAUGGGACAGAACGGAAGCCACAGCACAGCCCUGAACCGGACCACCCGACCCCGUGGACAGUGGAGGACUGAGCAGCUACUCGGUUGUUAUGGACACUCAUAGAUUGCGCCGGCUCCACCCUGAGGGAAUCAGUUGGCACCGGGCUGCUGUCCCCUGCCCACCGCUGCUGCCCUCUGGUUCCCCCUCCCCGCCCCCCAGCCUGCAACUGUAUCCCCUCCAUCCAGACAAUGCCAUUUCCCUUGGGGGUCAAGGGUCAAACACUGCAUCCUGGCUGCCAAACCAGUCUCUUGCAACUCCAGGAGGUGAUGGAGGUGUGUGUGUGUGUGUGUGUCUGUUUCUUGUGUGAGAGCAAGGGCCGGGACCAGAGCAGGGUGAGGGGGCCGCCCCUCUUUGGACGGGUAAAGGGUUCUGGAAACAGGGGUCUAGAGUUCUGGGCACGUACUCCGUGGACCUCAGGAGCAGGUGUGAAGUCACGCCGGGGCCCUUAAUUCUUUAGACAGUGUGACUUCUGCCUGCCCUGAUCUGUUGGGAGUUAUCGAGCCUACUCUGGCUUCAAGAGUACAGACUCCCUUUCCCGCUUGAAGGGGGUGCCCCUGGGGGAGCGGGGUACAGGGACAGGAGUAGU